GUUGAGCUACAAGACUAUUUGGCUUCAAAUCCCAUACACAUACAUUGAGUUUUUACUGUAUAUUUGGUUUAUAUUGAUUGUAUAUCAGGUAUACUUUGUAGUCAGGCCAAUCUGUAUAGUUCUGCCCAUUUUGGCUUUAUUUUUCCGGGUUUGUUUUCUGGCCCAUUUUGUGUUAAUAUGUAAUUAUAUACCUGAACCUCUGUAAACAGAAGGUCCAGUCGGAUAUUUUCAUUUGUGAAUCAAUAUUAUUUCUCUUUCUAAGAAGCUCUCUGGAAGCUUCUACCUAACCGACUCUCUCUCAUCUUGUUCUUCGAUUUCAUCUAGAUUUCUUGAUGUUUUCA
rnacentral:lncRNA from 1 species